rnacentral:rRNA from 1 species
UUAAAUUGAAGAGUUUGAUCAUGGCUCAGAUUGAACGCUGGCGGCAGGCCUAACACAUGCAAGUCGAACGGUAACAGGAAAGCAGCUUGCUGCUUUCGCUGACGAGUGGCGGACGGGUGAGUAAUGUCUGGGAAACUGCCUGAUGGAGGGGGAUAACUACUGGAAACGGUAGCUAAUACCGCAUAACGUCGCAAGACCAAAGAGGGGGACCUUCGGGCCUCUUGCCAUCGGAUGUGCCCAGAUGGGAUUAGCUUGUUGGUGGGGUAACGGCUCACCAAGGCGACGAUCCCUAGCUGGUCUGAGAGGAUGACCAGCCACACUGGAACUGAGACACGGUCCAGACUCCUACGGGAGGCAGCAGUGGGGAAUAUUGCACAAUGGGCGCAAGCCUGAUGCAGCCAUGCCGCGUGUAUGAAGAAGGCCUUCGGGUUGUAAAGUACUUUCAGCGGGGAGGAAGGGAGUAAAGUUAAUACCUUUGCUCAUUGACGUUACCCGCAGAAGAAGCACCGGCUAACUCCGUGCCAGCAGCCGCGGUAAUACGGAGGGUGCAAGCGUUAAUCGGAAUUACUGGGCGUAAAGCGCACGCAGGCGGUUUGUUAAGUCAGAUGUGAAAUCCCCGGGCUCAACCUGGGAACUGCAUCUGAUACUGGCAAGCUUGAGUCUCGUAGAGGGGGGUAGAAUUCCAGGUGUAGCGGUGAAAUGCGUAGAGAUCUGGAGGAAUACCGGUGGCGAAGGCGGCCCCCUGGACGAAGACUGACGCUCAGGUGCGAAAGCGUGGGGAGCAAACAGGAUUAGAUACCCUGGUAGUCCACGCCGUAAACGAUGUCGACUUGGAGGUUGUGCCCUUGAGGCGUGGCUUCCGGAGCUAACGCGUUAAGUCGACCGCCUGGGGAGUACGGCCGCAAGGUUAAAACUCAAAUGAAUUGACGGGGGCCCGCACAAGCGGUGGAGCAUGUGGUUUAAUUCGAUGCAACGCGAAGAACCUUACCUGGUCUUGACAUCCACGGAAGUUUUCAGAGAUGAGAAUGUGCCUUCGGGAACCGUGAGACAGGUGCUGCAUGGCUGUCGUCAGCUCGUGUUGUGAAAUGUUGGGUUAAGUCCCGCAACGAGCGCAACCCUUAUCCUUUGUUGCCAGCGGUCCGGCCGGGAACUCAAAGGAGACUGCCAGUGAUAAACUGGAGGAAGGUGGGGAUGACGUCAAGUCAUCAUGGCCCUUACGACCAGGGCUACACACGUGCUACAAUGGCGCAUACAAAGAGAAGCGACCUCGCGAGAGCAAGCGGACCUCAUAAAGUGCGUCGUAGUCCGGAUUGGAGUCUGCAACUCGACUCCAUGAAGUCGGAAUCGCUAGUAAUCGUGGAUCAGAAUGCCACGGUGAAUACGUUCCCGGGCCUUGUACACACCGCCCGUCACACCAUGGGAGUGGGUUGCAAAAGAAGUAGGUAGCUUAACCUUCGGGAGGGCGCUUACCACUUUGUGAUUCAUGACUGGGGUGAAGUCGUAACAAGGUAACCGUAGGGGAACCUGCGGUUGGAUCACCUCCUUACCUUAAAGAAGC